GACGAACGCUGGCGGCGUGCUUAACACAUGCAAGUCGAACGGAAAGGCCCUGCUUUUGUGGGGUGCUCGAGUGGCGAACGGGUGAGUAACACGUGAGUAACCUGCCCUUGACUUUGGGAUAACUUCAGGAAACUGGGGCUAAUACCGGAUAGGAGCUCCUGCUGCAUGGUGGGGGUUGGAAAGUUUCGGCGUUUGGGGAUGGACUCGCGGCUUAUCAGCUUGUUGGUGGGGUAGUGACUUACCAAGGCUUUGACGGGUAGCCGGCCUGAGAGGGUGACCGGCCACAUUGGGACUGAGAUACGGCCCAGACUCCUACGGGAGGCAGCAGUGGGGAAUAUUGCACAAUGGGCGGAAGCCUGAUGCAGCAACGCCGCGUGCGGGAUGACGGCCUUCGGGUUGUAAACCGCUUUCGCCUGUGACGAAGCGUGAGUGACGGUAAUGGGUAAAGAAGCACCGGCUAACUACGUG
rnacentral:rRNA from 1 species